rnacentral:rRNA from 1 species
GACAGAGGGUGCAAACGUUGUUCGGAAUUACUGGGCGUAAAGCGUGCGCAGGCGGUUUUGUAAGACCGAUGUGAAAUCCCCGGGCUUAACCUGGGAACUGCAUUGGUGACUGCAAGGCUUGAGUGUGUCAGAGGGAGGUGGAAUUCGCGUGUAGCAGUGAAAUGCGUAGAUAUGCGGAGGAACACCGAUGGCGAAGGCAGCCUCCUGGGAUAACACUGACGGCUCAUGCACGAAAGGCGUGGGGAGCAAACAGG